rnacentral:rRNA from 1 species
GACGAACGCUGGCGGCGUGCCUAAUACAUGCAAGUCGAGCGAACAGACGAGGAGCUUGCUCCUCUUACGUGAGCGGCGGACGGGUGAGUAACACGUGGAUAACCUACCUAUAAGACGGGGACAACUUUGGGAAACCGGAGCUAAUACCGGAUAAUAUCUUGAAACACAUGGUUUAAUAGUGAAAGAUGGUUUUGCUGUCCCUUAUAGUUGGACCCCCGUGGCAUUAGCUAGUUGUUAAGGUAACGGCUUACCAAGGCAACGAGGCGUAGCCGACCUGAGAGGGUGAUAGGCCACACUGGAACGGGACCACGGUCCAGACUCCUGGGGGAGGCAGCAGAAGGGAACCUUCCGCAGUGGGGGAAAGCCUGACGGAGCAACGCGGCGUAAGUGAGAAAGGUCUUCGGUUCGUAAAACUCGGUUAUAGGGGAAAAACAAAUGUGUAAGUAACUGUGCACGUCUUGACGGUACCUAAUCAGAAAGCCACGGCUAACUACGUG